CUUUAUUAUUAUUUUCAAUAUCCAUAUGUUAUUAUUUGUUCUCUUUUCUCAUUUUUCUUUAUUAUUCUGAAUAAAAUGCCCAUAAAAUGAGUAUUUCAGGGUACAUUAGAGAACAGAUAGAGAACACAAAGUUAAACAUUCUAUAGAGUUUGACUUAAAUAAGGGGGGCUUGGGAUUGACCAAGAAGAGCCUUGUGCUCCACUGAUGCAAACCCAUGUAGACGUCAUAGCCUGGUUAGGAAUUGUUUUCUGUCUGUUAACUUCAUGGAGAAGUUUUUGGACGAGCUGCCAAGUCAGAACUUGGGAUGCUUACAAAAAGCAGUUACUGACAUGAUUCGGGUGCUCUCUGUUUCCCGGCUGUGUUCACCUGAGGAGUAAUGUAAGCCUCCAGAUGGGUAGAGAGGCAUUGGGCCGAUAUCUCUCUUCCCAGUCCAUCAGCUAUGUGAGCUGGUGAGCUUCGAAAGGUCAAGAAGACAAUCUGCUAAAGGGCCAGGACCUGGAGUCCAGGAGGAGUGAAGGGCCCAUCGAGUCGGUUGCCCUUGCACAGGAAUGGAUUGAAGGCAGCCAAGAGAGAUCCCAGCGACUCCUCCACCAGCUGGGCCACAUUUAGAAGUGAGCUCGGGUGGCCAAUGCUUCCUCAGAAUGGCUCCAAGUUAAAAGAGGAAGACUUCCAGAGAAGAAUCACCAACCCGCAGAGAUGGAAGCCAUGUUACCUUUGUUCUAUGGAAGUGGAGGAGCCUUUUAUGGAACAGAGGGUUUCCAGGUGUUCUUAAGGAAAAGACCAGACUUGAAUAAACCAGUAAAGGGGAAACUCGGGGAUUGAGAGAAAUAUAAUAAACAUGCAUAGAUUUACUCACGUGGAAGGCAAUUGUUUACAUGCUUAUAAGAGGAGAAGAAACAAAUGUCUUCUUGAAACCCUAAUGUCUUCAAGAGUCACAGAGUAAGGUAGAUAAAACAGGCAGAGGGCCUGGAAGGAUUGCUUUUUUUCUCGGCUGAUGGUCUUAGGAGGAGACACAAAAGGGAGGGACAGAAUGGAGACUGUACUAGGGGGGAAAGGAGGAGGAAGAGGAAAGACAUAAUUAUUUUGCAUAGUAGGGGUAAUUGGUGGGGCACUCCAUAAAUUAUUUUCAUCUGAACCAAAGGAAGGUUGAACAUCACCUCCAGACCCCUCAAUAUAUUCACAUACAAAGAGACUUAUUUAGAACCAUAUUAAACUUAACAGGGAAAUAGGAAAGGACAGCGAGAGGGGAGGGAGAGAUAAGGCUAUAAACAGGAGGCCAGGAUAGAUCAGUGAGUAAUUGCAAGCAAAAACAAAUUCCAAUAUCAGAGGGGAAAAUAUGAAUAGAGGAUCAAAGGAAAGGAUCAGAAAUUAAAGGUGGGAUCAGAAUGGAGUCAAGGGGAAGAGUAGAGGUGUAAAAACAGGUCAAUUUAUUUAAAGAUCAAAAGUGUGGGCUAAACUCAUUCUCUUUUACUACCUUCUUAUUUAUAAAGAAAAGAAUAGGAGGCAAGAGAAGAAAAAGAACCACAGGACAGGGUGCAAGAGAUACCCAACUGGGGAUCACGACUAUAAAAGUGAAUAUAAACUCAUUCAUAAAGUGGAAAAGGAUUCUAGAAUAGAUAAGAAAGCAGAAUCUAAUAAUAUUUGUUUAUAAGAAACCUAUAUGAAAUAUAAAGAUUCACAGAGAUUUUGGAUUAGGGCUAGAAUAAAGCAGAAUCUAUUACGUUUUGGGUGAGCAAAAAACCUCAGCGUAGCAAUCAUGAUUUCAGAUAAAGCUAUAGUAAAUAUAGACAUGAUAUAAAAAGACUUGAAAUGCUUAAAAGCACCAGAGAUAACAAAUGAACGUCAAUAUUUAACAGAUCCGGUCCAAAUAAUUUACAAAGUAUCUGUGUAGUUUUUACAAAGUUAAUCUAUUUGCAAGGAUACAUAGAAGACUUAUAGGGAGACUUAACACUGCAGGAUUUCAAUGUACUCCUUUCAGAUCUAGGCUAAUCUAACAAGCUAAAAGAGAAAGAAGUUAAGAACCCAAAUCGGAUUUUAGAAAAAUUAGAGAUUAUAGAUUUCUGGUGAUUAUUGAAUGGGAAAUGAAAGGAGCUUGUUUAGCUCUUCACCAUACAUGGCACCUUAAAAAAAAAAAAAAAAAAAAAACCAACCACACACAUAUUGGUACAUGAGAGCAGUAGUCCCAAAUGUAGAAAAGCAGAAAUACUAAACUUUUCAUUUCAUCAUAAUAUAAUAAAAUUAUUUUCAACAAAGUGCCUUGAAAUAAACAAUUAAAAUUUAACUGAAGACUAAAAUGAACUUGAUUCUAAAGAACAAAUCUUAGAAACACAAGAUAAUUUUAUUAUUAAAGAAAAUGACUACAAUUAAACAAUAUACCAAAGCUUAUGGAACACAACUAAAGUAGUCCUUGGCAGAAAAUGUUUAUCUCUAAAUGCUUUAAUCAAAGAAAGAUCAAGUCAAUGAACUGGUGACACAACUAAAAAAAAUCUAAUACAACAAUAAAUCAAAACUCUACAAGUAAACACCGGAGAAGAAAUUCUAAAAUAUGAAAAAAAAUUAACAAAACCAAAAGAUAAGUCUUUAUAAUUAAAAGCAGGAACUGUUUUUAAAGAAAAAAGUUAGCUAACCAGAUUUUUUAAGAGAAAGGAAAAACAAAUUGUACGAAAGAUGAAAAAAGGAGAAUUCCCCACAAUUGAAGAUGAAAUAAACAAAUUUAUCAGAAAUCACUUUGCUUAAUUACAUGACAACAGAAGUGAAAAUUUAAAGGAAAUGGAUAAAUACAUCCAAAUACCCAGGUUCACUAAAUUAGAAAAAGAUUGUUUAAAAACUCAAAGCAAGAAAAGAAAUUAAACAAGUCAUAAAUGAACUUCAAAAUAGGAGGGAGGAAAACCUCUCGGAUCAGAGAGGUUUACAAGUGAAUUCUAACAUUCGAAGAAGAAUUAAUUUCAGUAUUACCAAACUGUUUGCAAAAAUUGGAAAAUAAUGGAUUCUGCUGAUCCCUUUCAGUUAUACAAAUAUGGUUCUGAUACUUACACAAGGGAGAGAGAAUGAAAAGAAAACUGUAAGCUGGUAUCUCUCAUUUAGCAUAUUGAUGGAAAAUUUUAAACAAAAUAUUAGUGAGUUAGGCUCUAAUAACGUAAUAAAAGAUUAUAGUCUGCAAUUGGGAAUUCUACAAAUAACACAAAAUUGGCACAAUAUAAGGAAAACUAUAAAUAUAAUAAAUGAUAUUGAUAAUAAAGAACAAAAAUCACAUGAUCAUAUCAGUAAAUGUUGAAAAGGCUUUUGACAAAGUCCAACACCUAUUUCUGCUAAAAGCCCUACCAAGUAUGAGAAUAGCUGAAACUUCCCUUAAUUGUAUAAAUAAUAACUGUCUAAAACCAAGAACAAGCAUCAUAUUAACAGAAAAAAGUUAGAGGUCUUUCUAAUAAGAUCAAGGGUAAAGCAAGGAUGGAAAUUUUUCACAUCAUUCUAGUAUGAUACCCACAAAACUCAGCAGAAAGAGAUGGUGAAAGAAAUCACAUUCAAAAACAACUAUAUAAUGUACAAAAUCCAGUGACACUGGCCUCCUUGUAUUUCCUUAAACAAGACAUGCCAUCAGCUGACCCUGGGCAUUUCUAAAGGCUGGCUGCCCUCCAUGACUGGAACUCUCUCCUUUCUCAUUGCUACCGCCUGGCUUCACUCAAAUCCCACCUUUUACAAGAAGCCUUUCCCUAUUCCAUUUAAUACUACUAUUUUUCCUUUAAGAAUAUUUCCAGGGGCAGCUAGGUGGCCCAGUGGAUGGAGUACCAGCCCUGAAAGCAGGAGGACUUGAGUUCAAAUUUGGUCUCAAACACUUAAUUAACACUUCCUAGCUGUGUGACUCUGGGCAAGUUACUCAAUCCCAAUUGCCUAAGGAAAAAAAAAGAAAGAAAGAAAAAAAGAAAAAGAAAAAGAAUAUUUCCAAUUUAUCUGGACUAUAUUUUAUUUCUAUAUAGCAGUUUGCAUGUUUCCUUGUCCUUUAGAUGGAGAGCUUUUUGUCUUUCUUUGUAUCUCCAUUCCUUAGUACUAUGUCUGGUACAUAGUAGAUGCCUGAUAAAUAUUUAUUGACCAACUGAAUAAAAUAUUUGGGAAUCUAUGUACCAAGAUAUACCCUGGAAUUCUGUGUAUCCAACUACAAAAUACUCCUUCCUAAAAUAAAGAUAGACCUAAAUAAUUAAAGAAUUAUUACUAUUAUUAUUAUUUGCAGAGGUUAUUGGAGUUAAGUGACUUGCCCAGGGUCACACAGCUAGGAAGUAUUAAGGGUCUGAGGCCAGAUUUGGACUCAGGUCCUCCUGACUUCAGGGCUGAUGCUCUAUCCACUGUGCCCCUUAGCUGCCUCCAAUUGGGGAAAUAUUAAUUGCUCACGACUCUAUUAUGUCACCCUAAUAAAAAUGACAAUGUUGCCUAAAUUCAUUUGUUUAUUCAGUGCCAUAGCCAUUAAACUAAUAAAAGAUUAUUUUAGGACUAGAAAAAUAAAUCAUC
rnacentral:lncRNA from 1 species